rnacentral:rRNA from 1 species
AGUGAACGCUGGCGGUAGGCCUAACACAUGCAAGUCGAACGGCAGCACAGUAAGAGCUUGCUCUUACGGGUGGCGAGUGGCGGACGGGUGAGGAAUACAUCGGAAUCUACUUUUUCGUGGGGGAUAACGUAGGGAAACUUACGCUAAUACCGCAUACGACCUACGGGUGAAAGCAGGGGAUCUUCGGACCUUGCGCGAUUGAAUGAGCCGAUGUCGGAUUAGCUAGUUGGCGGGGUAAAGGCCCACCAAGGCGACGAUCCGUAGCUGGUCUGAGAGGAUGAUCAGCCACAAUGGAACUGAGACACGGUCCAGACUCCUACGGGAGGCAGCAGUGGGGAAUAUUGGACAAAGGGCGCAAGCCUGAUCCAGCCAUACUGCGUGGGUGAAGAAGGCCUUCGGGUUGUAAAGCCCUUUUGUUGGGAAAGAAAAGCAGCAGGUUAAUACCCCGCUGUUCUGACGGUACCCAAAGAAUAAGCACCGGCUAACUUCGUG